CGUAUACAGAGACGGCGCACGUUUCCCUCGCAGAUCUCGCGAUUCGCAGAGCCAUAGGCGUCGUUGGACCAAAAAAACUCUUGUUCGAGGACGGGAGGAGGACGCUAGUGGGUGGCCGGCGGCGUGGAGGGAACGAGCGGUGCGCGUGCAAGAAUAUCAAACGCAUUUGACGUCUUACGCAGCGCGGAGUAAAUAAGAAAUUUCGUACGCCGUAGAUUGGCGUUUGCACGAAUUUACGUAGAACGAGAGCGAGAGAGGGUGAAUGUGGGAGCGAGCGAGCGAACGAGUGAAGUUGGGAGCAGGCCGGCCGCGGGAGCGAGACAAAGAUGGAGUGCAUGCGUGCGGCGAGUAAGAUGAAGAUGGAUGCAUUCAGGGUCGCGUCGCUCACGAAUGCAAUCUCUCACGGCGGAAGUUGGCACGUGGUCACGCAUCGCGCGGUCAUCUGGCCACCCUCGCGAGUGUCAUUAACUCGCCGCCGGAGAAAUUCUCGUGUACAAGGAAUGAUGAAAGAACCAGUUAUUAGCUAGUUUGGCGGCGAUCGGGCCGUGGCGGUGACGGUAACGGCAACGGGGACCCACGGAGAAAUACUCAAAACGCUGUAUAUCGGGCGCAGAAGUUGCAAAUUACGUGGCAGUUUCAGCGCGACAUUGUUCCAAGAUAUUCUCACGGGCCAACAACUGGUGAAAACAAAUCGAGCGUAUCGGAUAAUCGGGGGAUCGAUCCUAGCUAUUUACCAGUGACAACCGUGGAACCAUCGUCAGCUACGUCCCCCCGGAGAUCGAUUCACGUCCGCGAGUAGUACCUUUCUCAUAGGUAGAGGAACGAGGUGGAGGAGUAUCGGUUCGCAAUGACGCGGAAGACGCGAAUUUCACGUGGCAAUUUCACGGUAUCGCCAAAGGAGAAAGAGACGAACGCGUUUUGCCUGAUCCCCACCGAUAGAACAAGAUGAAGCGGUGGAUGGGAGGAGCGGAGGGAUACACGAAGAGCUGACGGUAUAUAUAGGCUUCUUACUUGGCACCGAGGAAAAAGAGGAUCACGAAUGAAGACGGAGUCGGAGGAGGGGAAGAAGUAGAUGAAGAAGAAGAAGAAGAAGAAGAAGGAGACGAGCGGUGGAGCGGGCAGUCAGCGGUCUAUGUCUGGAUCCGAUCCCGGCGCCGUGGAAAGAGUUUCGAGGACACGCAGGACGUCUUGCGAAGCGCAUCGAAGAUGAAGAUAGGGAAUCAGAGGAGGCUCUCGGCUGGGGAGGCUGAUGACGCCGGCCGGACCCGGACCUAGGUGCCUAGGUGGCGUAACGGAAGAGAAGUGGAAGUCUCUGUGGAAGGAGGCGCGCACAGACGGUGGUAUCGACCGGUCCGGAAUCCGGAGUCCGGACCUGCCUCACGCCACUCACUCUAACCCUAACCCUAACCUAACGCCGCCACAUCGCCACCCGACCACCAUCCACAGUGUCCCACUACCACACUGCACCGUCUCUUCGCCUCGCCUCGCUUCCUUUUCUUAUUCUUCCGUUACAACGUCCACGCUCAUAGCUCUUAUUGUUGCCGUACUCCUAAGAGGUCGUACCACUGCUGCGACCGCACAGAGAACCGGCUAAUUCCACGUGAAGAAUGAACCUAUUUUUUACAAGACCGAUCAUGCAAAUUCAGAGAUUCCAAACGGAAAUCUGGAAACGUAUUUCCAGACCUUUUUUUUUUUAUGCACCACGAAGACAGAGUUUGUAUAUGGACAAUGGGGAAACAUGAAAAUGUUUAUUGUAGCAAUGUAUCUUAUCGUAUGAAUCCGUUUCACGAUCGUCGGUAAAUAACUGGGCUAUUUGCAGCCCGGUAGUGCUAUCAUAGACAAUUACCAAAGCGGGCCGCGAUUAAAUAUCAACGCUAUCCCCCGACAAAACCGCGCGCGUUACACGCCCGUCGAAAGGUAAACGAUAUCGUAGAUAACAGUUACGCGUAAACUUCAUUUAAAUAUUGACAUCGUUAGCAACAAUGAGAGGGCUCUAUGAGGUCGCGUUAAACAUUUCGACGACGGUGUAAAUAGCGAGCCGCGCGUCGAUUCGAAUUUCAAUCGAUUAAUGAUACAUCCGCUAGCAAAAAGAGGUUCCGUAUAAACGACUGCCGAUUUCCAUUUAUUAAACGACAAAAGAUAAACACACACGUUGCCCACUGAUUUUUCACGCUGAAUACCGCCGGUUCCGUUGAUAAAGAAUAUUUAUCGAUAAGAAUUAUCCAUUCGUCGUUGGGCAUUUUCGUGGUACGAUACGAAACGUUUAUUUACACUUGUGUAACAGUAUCUGUUACUUUGACUCGUUCUAAUCCUCGCAACACCGUGUUAAUUGCGGGCUAAGCGUGUUACCCAUUGUUACAAGUUCAACCGCGUGCUUAUGCGAAUACGUAACAAACAUAAUUAUUAUCGCAGGCCUGUUCACACGAUUUUGUAUUAUAAUUAUAAAUUCGUCAUGAAUCUGUGAAUCCUUGUCCAAGUUUUUAAACAAUCCGAAACGACGCACGCCGGACAUCCUUGAUGUGACAAAACGAAGGAGAAGGGAAUAAAAAUGGGACAAGGCCAGCGUGGGAGAGGUCAGGAAUGCGAAUAAUUUCUGGUAAACAGAAACAUUUCUCGGCCAGCUGUCGUGAUAUAAAACCAGUUUGGUUAUACGAGAGGGUGAAGUAGCGGCCGUUAUCCGGGGUGGCGACGGUCGUCAAAUCUCGGUAAGUGCACUCGUAGGAGGCCAGUUUCGGUUUCCCGUGGGUUCGGUGCGGGCGCGCGUGAGUUUAAAGGGAGCGAAAUAUCGGCGGCAACAAGGCAGUUAACGGUGCAGCGGCCGUCGUAAAGAGCGAGGGUAGGUAAAGAGACGCAGUAAAAGGGUGAGCUCGGGCGAGGAUGCAGGAAGGUGCAGGCAGGUAAAUUCCCAUCCCUCGAUAGUCUGUCGUUAAACAGAACCCCACCGCGUCCUCCCCCCGCGAUACGGGGCCACAGAGUUGCGACGCAGUCUCUCCCCAGUCUAGACGCAUUCUCUCUCUCUCACUCUGUCAGCUCACCGACACGCAUUCAUGGUCGUUCCGCCCUUACUCACACCGACGAAAAUUUACUGCUCUAUCCUAUCCCUCCCUUCCUCUUUCUUUUCCGUCCCUCCUUUCGCUGUUAAUGCCGCGCCGCGACUCUCGAACACGUACACACGCAUAAAGAUACGGCCCGUAAACCCCAACAAGCUCGAAGACUGCGGAUUCGAUUGUGUGCCGGCACACACCGACGCGCGGAACAAACCGAUUACCACCACCCGCGGGAUAACUUCUACGAGCAUAAUGAAAAGCAGAUUAAAAACUUUCGCUCGAGUAUGGCCGAGAACGACGCGAAACGAUCGGGUAGGGUGAGAGCUCCCGCGGUCUGCUUUUCCACGUAUACUAUACUACUUCUUCUUCUUCUUCUUCUUCUUCUUCUUCUCCUCCUCCGUUGCCCGAUACUGGUUAAGAGUUAUCGAGUUGAGAUAGGUCAGCUUUAUGUACUACUUGCAUCCUCAGCCGCUUGUUUGUCCUAUAAUCUGGCUCGGAAUCCCUUUUAGGGUCAUUGUGCGUACACGCAACGAUCACGAGUACGUUCGUUCUUGAUGAAACUCUCUCGAGAUAUUCCAUUUGGAUUAUUUUAAUUGGAAAUGUAUUAAGGAAAAUUGACAGACACUCCGGAUACUAAAUUACUCACGUAUUUCCAUUUAUGUCUAUGUAUAAAGGGCUUAUCAUGAAAAUCGUUCGAGUGUUCUUUUCUCGUCGCGCCGCUACUGGCAGCGAGUAUAUUCUUUUGUGAUUUUGUAGUAUGGCAUCGUUCAUAGGUAGACGGGGGCGGAACCGGUAGCUAGAGGCCAGCGAUAUUUGGCAUAUCAAUAGCGGAUGGCGGCCACUCGGCCCGGUUCAUUUGAAUUUCAAAACCUUAAAUACGAGCCUGUAUGUAUAAGAUAAAACAGCCGAUAUACUGUUUUAAUAAAGCCCAUAGCUACCGUGUAAUGUGCAUGCCGGGCUGGAACCGUUUCCAGCUGGACGUAAGCAGACCGGCAUCGAAGUUGACAAUAAAAAAUCACCCUUCGACCCUUUUUUCUCUCUACCCCGCAUUUGCAUCGAGUGCUACUUGACGAUUUAUCUUCCCUAAGCCAACGUCCAACCACUGCACUCAUCGGAUGGGACUUUUCUAUCGCGACGACUCCGAAAGUUUAAUCGCAGAAUUAAUUUAGAAAUUCACAACUUUCCCUGUACUUCGUUUUCCGCGUAAAAUUCCGCUUCAUUUAAAAAAAUUACACGAUUUUAAACGUCAACGUGCAGAAUUUCGUUCUUCUGUUUUUCGAAAUCCGGCGAAGUUAGGGGUUAAGAAAAGCCAGAGGGAAACGUUGCUCCAAGACAAUUUUCCCGCUACGCGUAGCAUCCCUUCCGGCUGGCGGGCGUAGCAACGAAAAUACCUACGAGAAUCGGGCACGAAUUUCGCGCGAUCCGUACCGAAAUCCGAACGGACAAAAGGUAUCCGUUGCCGUUGAUUGAUCGGGAUACUUUCAUCGGGGGAUCCGAUCUUUCGGACACGUAGCCGCCUAACAUCCCCUGCAGACCGAAUUUUCCUUCUUACGUGCGCCGGAACGACGCACGUGCAUCACCGCGUCGCAGGGUGCGCACAGACACAGGCAACUCGGCACAUGCGUCACACACACACACACACACAUACACACGCGUGCGGGAUCUUGCAAGAACGGAAAAUCGAGAGAGGAAGGAACGAGGGUGAACGAGAUCAGAGGGAGAGAGAGAGGGCGGCACGCAGACACUCGCGAAAUUACGACCUUCGCUUACGUCUGGAUACAUCGCUCGAGCGAACGAGCUAGCGCCAGCGGACGACCAGGGUUUAUAGGGCUGGCGGAGCCGCGGCGAGGGGCAGGAGGUAAGGGCGGACAAGUGGCAAGAGGAAGACGGCGUGAGAGAAGCGAGCCGCGGGUGCGACGGAGACGGUAACGAGAAAGAGGAACGAGAGAAGGGGACGAGGGCUGGUCGGUGGACGGUAGGAUGGGUUAGAGCAGGAUGGUGGUUACGGAGACGCACACAUCGGCGUGGUUUUACUGUUUCGGAAGUCUAGCCGCCCCCAGGCCAUCCACCCCCCUUUCCGGCAACGCGGGGGGGACCUACCAUCCACCCCGACGACCACCCUUCAUCCUCUCAUGGGGGUGGACCACCCGCUUAUACGACCUUCCAGCCCCUUUGGCCAGACCGGCACACACCGAAGUCGUAAACCUGCACCUUGCUCUCUACCUCUGCCUCUCUGUUUGUCUCGUUCGCUUGCCACCACCCCCCGGACACCCUCCUCCCCUCAACUCUUGCUUUUGCUCUCUGUCCCCCGGCUCUCGUUUCCACCCUCGCCACCCUUGUCCGACCAGGCUGCCUGCGCUCCCCGCCACCCCGCGUGCCGGGUACCUCGCGCGUGGAUACCUCGAAUGCACCAGCUCUUUCUCAUCGUCUGUCUGACACGCACGCACGCUAUCGCUACCGCCGCGCUAGAUGGAUACAGAUAUGUACACACGUAUUACACAGCCGCCCCGAGUCGCAUAGGUGUUCGUGAUCACCUUCGCUCGAACGUGUCACCGUCCGGCUUGUAAUCUAAACUUUAAUAACUAAAUAAGAUAAUACGUUCUGUUUCCUCGAGCAGCACGCAUAUUUAAAUAGUUCCACCGCGAUACGCCUAAAAAUUUCAUCGUCGAGUAAAAUCCCAAUUUUUCACGAUCGCACGGUCUUAAAGUUUACUAGACACAAGUUUAUCCCCCCGGCCGCGCGGAGCAACUGAAAUUCAGUUCGCGCCGACGUAGCUUAGUUUAUAGCGGGAUUUUAGAUGCGUUUUCAUAGAAUUAAUACAGAGUUUAGUUUUGCGACCAUAAACUAGAUCCAGACGGCAGUAAAGCGAACGAAAUGGCCGGGGACAGCGCUGUCUCGCCGCGGGCCAUUAAUGGAUCAUGAGACGCGGCUAACUAUAAAUUGAUAAGAGAACCUGACCUGCUCCAUUAAGACCAUAAACUUCCCUAGACUCCUACCGUCUUACCCAUGUUUUUUCUACCUCCUUUUUUUACUCCUCCGCCUUUUUCUCGUGUCGUCGUGCCGCUUAAAAGUUACCGGCUGCGAAGUCGCUCCUUUGACAAAAAGAUUGAAACCGGGCCACGUUUAUUAGUAGUUUUACUCGGUUUUAAAUUCGAGUUCAUGCGCCUCGGGAUCUGCUGUUGUUCUUGUUUGAUAAAAUAAGAUGCAACGAAGACACGAGGGGAAAAUAAAUUCAAUCGCCGUGUCCUUGGCGAUUUUUCUUCGUCGCUUCGCGCCGAGUUAAUUCUAAUAUAAAACAGUUGGUUCGCCGUGUACGCGGAUCCGUCGCAUAAAUUCGGCAAUGGAAGUAUUCGGGGCAUCUCUCCGAUGCGAAUCCAGUGGAUUCUGCGGGCAGAGUGGCGGCGUCUCGUUAAUACGGAGCCCAGAAGAUGAUAAACGAGGCCAACUUAUAUCAGUAGUCUCUGCUCUACGGUCACGACCAAAAAGUUUCGCCGGCCAAAGUGGCGGCGCCGCGCAAAGUCGGAAUGAGAUGGGGGUGGCGGCCCCGGACAAACGGAAGUGGCAAAAGGAGAACGAGGAGGCGAGGGCGGGUCGGUAAGCCGGUUUUCGACAUUGACUAAACGAGAUACGGAGACAUGGCGUCCGAAGGAAGGAUGGUAAGUACAUCGACCACCCCCGUCCCAUCCCUUACGAAGUACACUCCGCCUCAUAAAGCGUUCACCGCUGCUAAUAUCUCCAUGACGAUUCAUUUAACUACUUCGAACAAUUCUAUUAUCGUAUAUUUGCAGUAACGUCCUCAGAUUUUGCUUCACAUCGCUUUUGAAUAUUUUAAAAUUUAUUUCCAUAACAUUGGCACAAUAAAUAUUUAAUUGGCAAACGUUUGCAAAUAUUGAAACAUGACAGAGAGAUCAAUAAUAUAAUUAUUACUAAUUAUCUUGGAUUUUAAAUAUUCGUUUUUCGUUGGGUAUGCUGGACGGGACUGUACCUCGUUUAGGUACCCGCGUCAACCCUCUUUUAACUUCCCCUUGAAUUCUCCUCCCGUUCGCCAGGACCCGUAGGCAUGCAGCGACACCCUCUGCUCCAGGCUUCAAAGGGCACUAGCUGGUACUAGGAAGGAGCCCUUCUUCCUCUGAUGCCACCCCUUGGACGUUAUACACACUCUCUCUCUUUCUCUCUUCCCUUCUACUUCUAGAACCUUUCAACCGCCUCCGUCGUCCCUUUCUCAAACCCCAUUGGCAAUCAUACUGCCAUGGUAUCUCCGUUGGAAAAUGGCUACCUGACCUUCUGGCUUCUGGGACGUCUAUCUGAUAGUCAAAUGGACAAAGGUAGAAAUUUGUGUCGCGAGAAACUAGCGCAUUCCGUGACUGAUCGCUCGCCAAAUUGCUCUUGGACGAUUGUUCCGAGUGAUAGAUCCAGUGCCCACGUGUAGUAUCAAACACUCGUUAAUUUCAAGCCAGUGGAACUGAUACACGUAAUCAAAUACUAAUAAAAUCAAUUGUUCACUCGAUUUAUUUGAUGAUCCAACGAUAUUCAAAUCCCAAACAAUUCCUAAUAAAAUCUCCUAGCCUUGAACUCUCAAAAAUCAAAAGUUCAAAAUUGAUUUUUCUAUUUGGCUCGCAGUGCGGAUAACGCGUGGCAAACCGCGCGAGGACGAUUUUCUCGCGACCUCGAUUCCAGCCUCGCCUCAUCGUCGCCCUCAUCGCCGACUUUACACGGUGGAUGGGGGUUCCUCGUCGCCGGCAUUUCGUGCCGUGAAAAAGAAAUUUGUGGCAUAAUUUCGAAUUUCUUGGCGCGACGGGUGAACGUCAGCAUGUAACUUGCUUGCGAUGCGUGACAUGUGUAAUAGAUGUAAUCAACCUUCGAAUCGGAUCACAGCCACUGGAUGCAUUCUGAUAAAUGUGAUUGAAUCAAAGCAGCGUGAAUUAAUGCAGCGUGAGUAACGCGAAGUUGAGAUGGUAAAGUUGUACGCCAGGUAUAAAGAACAGAAGCACAGAGGUAA